AUUGAACGCUGGCGGCAUGCCUUACACAUGCAAGUCGAACGGCAGCACGGGGCAACCUGGUGGCGAGUGGCGAACGGGUGAGUAAUGCAUCGGAACGUACCUUUCAGUGGGGGAUAACGUAGCGAAAGUUACGCUAAUACCGCAUAUUCUGUGAGCAGGAAAGCAGGGGAUCGCAAGACCUUGCGCUGAUUGAGCGGCCGAUGUCAGAUUAGCUAGUUGGUGAGGUAAAGGCUCACCAAGGCGACGCACUGUAGCGGGUCUGAGAGGAGGAGCCGCCCCACUGGAACUGAGACACGGUCCAGACUCCUACGGGAGGCAGAAGUGGGGAGUGUUGGACAAUGGGGGCAACCCUGAUCCAGCCAUGCCGCGUGAGUGAGGAAGGCCUUCGUGUUGUAAAGCUCUUUCGGCCGGGAAGAAAUCGCACGGGCUAAUACCCUGUGUGGAUGACGGUACCGGAAUAAGAAGCACCGGCUAACUACGUGCCAGCAGCCGCGGUAAUAC
rnacentral:rRNA from 1 species